rnacentral:lncRNA from 1 species
ACCACACGGGCUGCAGCCCCCUGCACUGGGACCCCCAGAGCUGGGGACCCUCCCCAUGCCCCAGGUACCCCAAAACCUGCCUGUCCCCACACUCCAGCAGCUCGCAUACCCGGUUAUUUUGUGCCCCUGGGUACCCCAUAUUUUGGGUACCCCAUAACCUGGGUACCCCAUACCCUGGGUACCCCAUAUCAGGGGUACUCCAUAACAGAUAUACCCCCAUUUCCCUAUACCCCAGGCACCCUGUACCCCGAGUGCCUCAUACCCCAAGUGCCUCACACCCCAGUUUCCCCACACCCCAGGUGCCCCACAACCCCGUUACCCCACACCCCUAUUCCUCCUAUUUCCACUCGUCCAUAUCCCAGGCACCCCACAGUCUGUGUACCCCACCCUUCAGUCCCUCCAUACACCAGGUACCCCAUAUUCCAAGUGCACCGCACCUCAUUUUCUCCAUACCCCCCCCCACACCCUGUACCCCAAUUACUCCAUCCCCAUUCACCCCAUACCCCGAGUUCCCCACACCCCAGUUUCUCCAGACCCCAGGGACCCCCAACCCAAGCACCCCACGUCAUUUCUCCAUACCCCAUCCCCCCCUUUGCCCUGGGGGAUUCCCAGCCCUGUGACCCUGAUCCUACUCACAGGGAGCACGGGGCUCCCCCCACCCCCACAGCCCCAAACCUCUGCCCACAACCCUAAAACAUAAGACUGGGGCACGGGGGAGGGGUCCCCCCAAAACCACCCCAGGCAGAGGGUGCCGGAACGACCCCACUGGACCCCCUGCUGCCAUCCCACCCCCUACCGAAGGCGACAUCCCCCCCACGUGCCCCUCUGCUUGUGCUGCGCUUGCAAAACUUGUAGGAUUUCCUGAAAAGUGCCGCUAGUGGGGAAACGAAACCAGGGCUCGGAGAUCCCUCCCAGCGCGCGCGCUCGGGUGGCCGCUGCAUUCGCAGCACGGCACGGGGCAGGAUGGAGAACUGCUGCCUGCGCUGCCGCCUCCUCUACAAGCAGUGCUGGGGGGUGUCCCUCGCCCAGGCGCUGGAUGUCACCAACAGGUCCCUCGCCGAGACGCAGGGGCAGUGGGAGAGCUGCAGAAAGGAGCUGAGGACAACAGGGAGAUCAAGGAGAAGCUGGAACAGCAGCGGCAGCAGCUGGAGGAGGCGCAGAAGGACAGGAGAGAUCUCCAGUCACAGAUCUGGGACGCUUUGGCAAGGAUCGGGUCCGGACAGAGCUGGCAUUCGAGUGGCACCAGCGCGACGUUCCCCGGCGUGGCCGUGCCCCUCGUCCUCCUGGCUCUGCUCUUGGCCAGGCUGGAGGCCAACGCCACGGCGCUGCGGGACGAGGCGCUGGCGCUGCGGCGCGAGCGGGCUGAGCUGGCCCGCAGGAACGCGGCUCUGCAAGGUGUGUCCGUCUGUCCGUCCCCUGGGACCCCACCCCGGGGUGCUGACCUGGCCACCCACCCCCUGGGGACGAUGCCCAGCCGGGUGGCUCAGGUUUUGGGGUGCCCCUUUCGCCCCGCAGAGGAGCUGGCGCAGGGCACGGAGGAGGCGAAGGAGCUGCGGCGGCGGCUGGAGGAGGCGGAGGAGCAGUGGCGAACGCUGCGGGCACGCGGGGAGAAGUGUGAGGCUCGGCAGAAAGAGCUCGAGAAAAACCUGUGAGGGUCCCAUCCCUUUGCCGUGCCCCCCCCUGGGUGCCCCCCCAAGGCUGCGGUGCCCCCUGACACGGCUCUGCUCUGCCCGCAGGAGGGACUACGCGGCCGAGGUGGAGGCGCAGCAACGGCGGAGAGUGGGGUCCCGCACGGCCAGGCGCAGGAAAGGCUGAAGCCCCGCAGCAUCCUUCCUGCCCCCCCAUCCC